rnacentral:rRNA from 1 species
UACGAAGGGACCUAGCGUAGUUCGGAAUUACUGGGCUUAAAGAGCUCGUAGGUGGUUAAGAAAGUUGGUGGUGAAAUCCCAAGGCUUAACCUUGGAACUGCCACCAAAACUUUUUGACUAGAGUAUGAUAGAGGUAAGUGGAAUUUCUAGUGUAGAGGUGAAAUUCGUAGAUAUUAGAAAGAACACCAAUUGCGAAGGCAACUUUCUGGAUCAUUACUGACACUGAGGAGCGAAAGCAUGGGUAGCGAAGAGG